rnacentral:rRNA from 1 species
GAUGACGGGAGCUUGCUCCUUGAUUCAGCGGCGGACGGGUGAGUAAUGCCUAGGAAUCUGCCUGGUAGUGGGGGACAACGUUUCGAAAGGAACGCUAAUACCGCAUACGUCCUACGGGAGAAAGCAGGGGACCUUCGGGCCUUGCGCUAUCAGAUGAGCCUAGGUCGGAUUAGCUAGUUGGUGGGGUAAUGGCUCACCAAGGCGACGAUCCGUAACUGGUCUGAGAGGAUGAUCAGUCACACUGGAACUGAGACACGGUCCAGACUCCUACGGGAGGCAGCAGUGGGGAAUAUUGGACAAUGGGCGAAAGCCUGAUCCAGCCAUGCCGCGUGUGUGAAGAAGGUCUUCGGAUUGUAAAGCACUUUAAGUUGGGAGGAAGGGCAGUAAGCUAAUACCUUGCUGUUUUGACGUUACCGACAGAAUAAGCACCGGCUAACUCUGUGCCAGCAGCCGCGGUAAUACAGAGGGUGCAAGCGUUAAUCGGAAUUACUGGGCGUAAAGCGCGCGUAGGU